rnacentral:rRNA from 1 species
UACGGAGGGUGCAAGCGUUAAUCGGAAUUACUGGGCGUAAAGCGCGCGUAGGCGGUUGUUUAAGUCGGAUGUGAAAGCCCCGGGCUCAACCUGGGAACUGCAUUCGAUACUGGGCAACUAGAGUAUGAGAGAGGGAGGUAGAAUUCCAUGUGUAGCGGUGAAAUGCGUAGAUAUGUGGAGGAAUACCAGUGGCGAAGGCGGCCUCCUGGCUCAAUACUGACGCUGAGGUGCGAAAGCGUGGGGAGCAAACAGGAUUAGAUACCCGCGUA